GAUAGUGCUUCAGGUAGCAUCACAAGACUUAGAGACUUUUCUGAAACAGAUGGAAACAUCCUUUCCCCUGGAAAGUCUCUAGGAAGAAGGACCCAGAGCUGCAUCUUGUCUCUAAAAGGAGAAACCUGAAUGUACCUUAUGGGAAUGGAAAGUAAUUGUGAAGGUAGGUAGCUCCACCUCUGCGUGGGAUUCCUGGCAUCAGAAGCUUCCCUGGGUCCUCUGAAUGCUGGAGGUGGGGCUCUUACGCCUUUGUGUCCUUGAUCUUUGCAGACAAGCAGGAAAUUAGUUUCAAUUGAGAAUUUGUGAUAUUUCAUGUCCUUUCUGUGGCAAAGCAUACCAAGAUUCACAUAGGGAAGAUUUUAUCUUAUGGUCGGUAGGCAAAAGUAUUCAUAAGGGUAUAUGAUGAGAUUAUUACAGUGUGGAGACUUGCAGGCAUGUAGCUGUAAAACAUUUACAAGCAAGAGCUAAAGGAGAAUUUCAGUGUGAAAUACAAAAUUGAUUUGGCAUUCCCUGUGCCCUCAGGUUUCCCUAGUUAUUUUCUAUACAUACUGUCACAGAUUCAUCCUACAAGAACAGAAAAGAAAAAGUUAAGGUGGAAAUUAUGCAAGUGGAAAGAACAUUACCAUUGCACUGAAGAGACCAUGAAAAGAGAAAAAAAAACAAACAACUUUUCAAUUGUUGCUUCUUCAAAGAUGCUGCUGUAGAAAACACAGAAAUUUGGUUGGAGCUCCAUCAAAAGCUGUCCAGCGUGGCUACACGCUGAGCUGUGAGAUCCUUUGCAAUCAGCCAGGAAAGGUGGGCAGUCCUGGCAGGGCACUGAAGCUGAUUUCUGCAAGGAAAGUGUCAAAUCCAGAGGGCCAGAGGAAUCCCAGAGAAAGGAAUCUGCAGAGGAAGUGCCACUGCUCUGCCAGGCAGGAGGAGCUUGCACAGACUGCCACUCUGCCCUUGUAUUUGCCUCAAAGUCACCAUUUGCUUAUUACAAACAUUGUUAAGUGAAACUUGUAAUUCAGGAGCACAGAACUUUUGUCUGCUUUCAGCUGGAAUUUGUAGCGUGGGAGGUUUCUGAAUUCCUCCCUGGGUUCAUUUGCAGGUUUUACCAGUCAAUCAAUGAUAUUUCUAUCACAAGAAUAUUUCUCUCACUUCCAAACAGGUGGUCACUGGCAAGUUACAUCUUUAAGCCAUCUUGUGUGUGUUUUAACAUGAUAAAUGAAAAAGCAGUAAUUUUUACUUUACAAUGCUGAGUUUGAAUGAGUUAAGCACAGUUAUGGAUGUACAAAAAAAUAUGUUGUAUUUUAUUGCCCCUGAAGUCUGUAUCUUUGUUUCUUUCCCCUCUGUGUGUGGUUAACUGCAUGGGUUUUUUUGAUAGCUGUGUGCGCUGAAUCACUCUUUGGAGGUGCCAGACCUAUCCAUCGACUGUAGAGGGAAGCAAAGACAAGCUGGCUUCUAAGUUAGCCCUCUCACUUAGAUGCCUGUAAAAAGGCAGGACGAUUGCAGGCCUUACUGCAAGCUGUAUGCUUCAAUCACCCUUUUUGUUUAGAGAACGAAGCAAUUCUGCCCUCACUGGAGCAUCCUGAACCAAAUGCGUUGCAACAUAAGGAGGGGUGAAAACUCCAAAAAUGUUUAAGACAUCCUGAACAUAAGCUCAAGCACAGGUUGCUGUGUAAUGUCACACAUGCUUAUUCAUAUGUGUGUUCAAUGUGUAAAAAAAGACUGGUCCCACUCUAUUUUUCAUGCUUUCUUUAACACUUUCAGAGGGUAAGCUCUGUCCCAGUUAUUUUAAAUGGGAAAUCUGGAAAAAAAAAAAAAGAAA